UAUAAUGCCGGCUAGCAACCGCCGUUGUUGGCGUUGAAUAUAGCUGUCAGAAAGCAUCCUCGCUUCGGUUACUAAAUGGAUAGAUUUGGGAGUUUCUGAUGACUUUGAUCCUCAUCACCUGCCAAUACCAGUGCCAGAGAUGGAUCUACGGCCACCACCGCCAACCUCACCGCUGGGAAUAUCUUAGAUUGAACACUGGAACUUUGUAUGAGGUUUCAUGAAUAUAGGAAGUGUGCUUGCUCACUCUCUGUGUGUUUCGUCAAGGGGUGAACUGGGUAUGCUUGAUUAUUUUUACUUUAUUGUCUUAUUGUAAUUAUUACUGAGAUUUGUGGCUUUAUCAUUCUUACAUUCAUUGCUUUUUGUUGAUGAAUGUAAUCUGAUUUUGUAGGUCAAAGUUUUUCAAUAAGAAAAUUAAGCUGCUAUGAAUGAGUUUAUCCAACUUUAAUUAUUUUGGUCUGCGUUUCCUUUGUUUUUUGAAAUUAGAUAUUUUUGUAGAUAUUUUUCCUUAAAAUUGACCAAACUACUUAUACUUUUAUGCAUGCAUCAGCUAUGGCUCAAUGGUUUAAAAAUUAAAAAACCAGAAAGAUGGUUAUUCUAGCUUUCUAACCAGGUUUGUAUCUAUUUUUAUUUUUAUUUUUUGCAAUGCUCCUCUGCACUACAAGGUCUCUCUCUCUC